ACGCAAUACAAAAUUUCAAAGCCACUUAGUACUAGUAGUUACAUACAUUACUAUAAAUGUUUAGUUGAAAGGGUUGGGUUGAAUUAGAAGGCUCCCUCUUUUAGGGGCGGAGAAAUUAGAAAAGGAUUUAAAGGGACCUAUAGUGGGAAGGAAUCCUGAAGUGGGUUUUGCCUUGUUGAGGCAAAAAAGAAAGGACCCUUGUUCUUCUUCCAUCCAUCAUCAAUCAGUGCUAGUCAAAAAAUAAGAAAUGGGUUAUCAGUAGACCCAAAGAAUAAGGUAUAUAUGGCCUUAAAUAUGAUACUCGUUUCUUUUCAGAUCAUCAUUUAAAGUUGCCCUCCCUUGUUUCUUUAUAUAAAGAAACUGUGCUUAUUGGUUGACCGCCUUUCCUUAUCAAUUUGUAAUGUGGUAAUGAAGUUUUGUUCAAAUAUUUGAAAAUGGUUCAGUCUUUGGCAUCAUAUCAUAAACUACAGCCUACUCCUGCCAUUUCUCAAGCACUGGCUUGAAUAAACCCAUUGAAUUUCAAGGCUCUUGAUCAUGAUUCGUAAGAGAAGAAACCUUACUUAAGUUCAAUCGUUCCUUUAAGGUCAAACUAAAAUCCCAAGAUUGAUGGUAAAAUCUCAAAUCUAGUGAUUAACAACACAAUUAUUGUUAAACGCCUCCAAAUGAUAGUUAACUGAUAAAAGAGAAAAAAACUACUCAAAUUUUUUUUGGGUGCUUCUUACAAGAAAGUUAACACAUUAUGAUGACUUAGAGCAAAUAUUGGCGUAAUUAGAUGGCCAGAAGAAAAGAAAAUUUGAACUCUAUAAGGCUGAGCAUAUAUGAUUAUGAUCCAGUUGUUUGGCUUCCCAGCUGCCAGUUGUCCUAAAAUUUGCAGGUAUUUGACACUUUUACCUGACGUUCGUUGCUUCUUUUUUCUGUUUCCCCUUUUAAGAAGAAGAAGCAGAACAAAUUCAAAUUGCAUUUGCAGAAAAACAAUGAUGCCCUCUCCAACUAAUUGUUCAUUUUAAGUACUCUUUGUUUCUGUAUCUCAUUCAACCAAAGAAGGCUCCAUGCCGUUACAAUUUUCUCAUUGUUUAAAGUAUUAUCAUUGGGGUUGGAUUUCAACCAAACUUAUUUGAGUUCGAUUUUGACUCUAA